AAAAUAAAAGUUGAAACAUCAAUUAAUUUCAGAAGAAUUAACUUUAUAAAAUGGUUAUCUUUAAAUUUUUAGAAAAUAAUAAAAUAAAGUUAUUUUUAUAGUUCUUUUUUACCAAAACAUAAAAACUAAAUUCAAAAAUAAAUAUGUUUUGUCCUUAUCCCUGUGUGUAAUAAAAAAAAUAAAAACAACAUUUCAUUAAUUUUAUUAUUUUAGGAGAUAUUACAAUGUGUCUUGUGAGACAUCCAUAUACAUCAUGAAUAUACAAUAUUUUUCGGAAUGAUGAUAUAACAAGCAGAUCAUUAAUGAAGACAUUUUUUAAAAGCAUAAACUAUAGUAUGCAUAUAUACUGAGAACUCUUUUAUGUAUAUUGUAGUUUCAAAUUUAUUUAUUUUCAAAUACCUUUAUUGUUAUUUAAAUUUUAAUUAAAAUCUAAAUCUAAUAAUACUCGUUAUUAUAAUUGUUUUUAGUUUAUUUUAAAUGCUGACAUAAAUUAUUUAUUAAUAUAUUUCUUGAUUUAAUAUUAGGUAACUCACAUUUAUACUAACUACAUCAUUUGGAAACAUACUAUAUAUAAACAUAGUAUUUUAGUAUACCUUUAAGAUUUGUUGAUUGUAUAUUGGUAAUUUAUUAGUUAAAUUAUUAUUUUUUGUAAUCUUUAUAAAUAUUUGUAUACUAUAUUUCAAAUAAAUAAAUUAGCUUUUAGUUUUAAGAUUUCCAUUAAAAAAAAUGUAAUUAUUUAGAAAUAAUUUUGAACUUUUGAUUCAGUAUUUUUUUUUUAUAUAAUAUAGAUAUUACAUAAAAUCACACUAUUUAGGUACUCUAUAAAAAUUAAGAUAAAGAAAUGAAUGUCUACAAGUACACAAUUUUUAAAAUUUAGCCUAAAUUAAAUGUUAACUUUUGAAUAUGAAUUAACAUUAAUUAUCUUCCCUAUCAGUACAGCUUUAUUAUUAAAUAUAUAUUUUAAAAUGGUAAAAAUACAUUUAACGUUUAAUAUAUAAUAACAUAAAACCAAUCACUAAAUUUGAACAGCCUAAGCAAUGUCAUGAAAUAAAAAUUUAAAAAUAUUUAACAUUUUAUCUUUGCUUUUGACAAACUUCCCAAAACAUGGUAAAAAAAAAAUUGGGAGAUAAGGUUAACACUAUAUUCUAGGACUAGUUUAAACAUUUUAUACAAAAAUAUAUUUAUAAAUUCAAUUUAUUUAUUUCAAUUAUAUUUGAAAACCAAUUUAAAAUUAUAUAAUGGUACCUAUAUGCGAACAACUUUGUUUCAAAGAAAAUAAAAGAUUUAAAUUGGUUUGAUCUUUUUAUAAAACAGGAGCAAAAUUAAUACUAAUAUAUAAACUGUUGGCAUUAAUAUUAAAACAAAAAUUUAUCGAUGAAUGUCUGAAUUGAUUGGGAUUUAAGAAACUAUAAUGUUUAGGUUAGACCAAUUUCAGACAGAUUCAAAAGGUUUUUAUAAAUUAUGGCAGUAUGCUAUAAUAUAGUACUUCCAUUUUUUAUGUACCUACAAACAAAAUAUAAUAAAUUUAUUAUUAAAACUAAUAAGAAUAAUAUAAUAUUUCAUCAUAGAUAUUAAAUAUAUGCCAUCAGUAGUAUUUUUGCAGUUGUGAAUUGUGUUACCUCCAUUAUCCUAAUUCCUGUCCUUGUACAGCCUACAACAAGUAAACACAGGAGUGACUUAUCCAUGUAUUUUAUAAAGAUACAUUCUGUAUAGGCGAAUAAGGCGAUUUAUACUACAUAAAUUCAAGGGUCGAAUAAUUAACUUAAUUUAAAUUAUUUUUAUUAUUAUUAGAUUUUAUUAUUUCUCAAGCUUAUAAAAACAAUAUAAAGGUAACAAUAAAACAGUACGUAGCAUAUUAAACUACUACCCU
rnacentral:lncRNA from 1 species